GCCUGGGUGGCUCAGUGGUUGAGCAUCUGUCUGUGGCUCAGGGCAUGACCCUGGGGUCCUGGGAUCGAGUCCCACAUCAGGCU
rnacentral:tRNA from 1 species